GGCCUCAUCGUCUAACGGUUAGGACGCGGCCUUUUCAAGGCUGCAAUCGGGGUUCGAUUCCCCGUGAGGUCA
rfam:Parcubacteria bacterium C7867-003 C7867_00253, whole genome shotgun sequence.